rnacentral:ncRNA from 1 species
UACAUGUGUAAAUAUUAUUAUGGUUUAAAUUUAUUAAUAAUUUUUGUUUAAAUAUAAGAUUUUAAUAAUUAUUAAUUUUAAUAAUAGAUAAUUUAAAAAUUUAUUAAAAAGUUUUAAUAUAUGUUUUAAAUAAUUUAGGAAAAUAAAAAAUUUAAAUUAAAUUUGUGCCAGCAAUUGCGGUUAAACAAUUUUUAAAGUAAAUUAAAUUAAAAUAAUAAAAAAUUAAUUUAGAGGAGAGGGGUUAAGGUGAGUAAUUAAUGGUGAAAUAUAAUUAUGAAUUUAAUUUCGGAGAUAAAAUUUUAAAAUUAAAAUUAUAAAACUAGGAUUAGAUACCCUAUUAUUUUUAAAUAAAUUUAUUUAUUGAACAUUAAAUAUAAAAUUAUUAAAAUUAAUAAAUAUGGUGGUAAUUUAAAAAAUUAGAGGAGCUUGAUGAUUAAUUUGAUAAUCCACGAUAAGAACAACUUAAAUUAAAAAUUUUGUAUAUUUGUUUUAUAGAGUUUUUAAGAAUUUUGUAAGAAUUUUAAGGAUUGAAAAAAAAUUCAAAUCAAUAUUUAUUUAAAUUUAAGGUUAAUUGGGCUACAAGAGUUUAAAAUUGAUAUAUAAAUUUUUUAUUAUUUAUAAAAAUAGGAUUUAAAAUUAAAUUAAUUUAAUUUAAUUAAUUGAAUUUAAAUUUAAAUUAAAUACAAAUUGCCCGUCACUCUUUUCAAGAUAAGUCGUAACAUGGUAAAUAUACUGGAAAUUAUAUUUAGAUUUU